CUUCUCCUCCACGUGUCAAUAAAGUUUGUUCAAAAGGACACAGCCGCAACAAUGGCGGCCUCCAUGUCGUGGAGGAGGCUGUACUCCCCGGCUCUGGCUGGGCUUUUCACGCGGAUAGCAGAGCGGCUCUUCCGCGCCGGGGACAAAGGAGGCGGAUCCUCAGUGCUGCUUUUGGCGCCUCUUCUAGCCAAGGCCCAACCGGCACAGGAGCAAGUUUCCAGCCCGACUGGAGCCCGGGGGGCGCCCAGCCUCAACAGCCACUUCCGAUGGAUGGCCGAACAUGUGCCCGCCUUCCGAGUCCACGGUGCCCGCGUCCAUAUCCUCACCUCGCCCGACCAGUUCUACCAGACUCUGAAGGCACGUGUCAGGACUGCAAAGAGACGAGUGGUCUUGGCCUCGUUGUAUCUGGGAACGGGUCAGCUGGAACAAGACCUGGUGGACUGCAUGCAGGAAGCCCUGCAGAGCUCGCAAGAAAACAGCCACCACCCCGGCCUGAAAGUCUCAGUGUUGCUGGACUACACGCGAGGCUCACGAGGACAGCUGAACUCCAGGACCAUGUUGCUGCCCUUGCUGCGGCGCUUCAAGUCACAGAUGCGCGUCUCUCUCUACCACACGCCCGACCUGAGAGGCCUGCUGAGGCUGCUGGUGCCGCAGCGCUUCAACGAGACUAUCGGCGUGCAGCACAUCAAGGUCUACCUGUUUGACGACAGCCUCGUGAUCAGCGGGGCCAACCUGAGCGACUCCUACUUCACCAACAGACAGGACCGCUACUUCCUGCUGGAGAACUGCCCCGAGCUGGCCGAUUUCUUCUCGGAGCUGGUGGAUGCCGUCGGAGACGCUUCCCUGCAGCUUCAGCCCGACGACUCUGUCACCGUGCAGGAGGGCAUGGUGCACCCGUACAAAGGCGACAGGCGGGACUUCUCUGCCGUGGCGAGCAGGCGCAUCAUGGAGGUGGUGGACGCCGCCCAGGUGCGCCAACAGCUGCUCGGCCAGCUCUCUGAAGAGGAGGAGAGGGAGGAGGACACUUGGGUCUUCCCCCUGGUCCAGAUGAAGCCUCUGGGCAUCCAGGUGGACGAGCGGGUCACUCAGCGCCUGCUGAGCGACGCAGCUCCGGACUCCAGCGUCUUCCUGACGUCGGGCUACUUCAACCUGACCCGGGCGUACAUGCGCCUGGUGCUGGGGGGCGGCGCCCGCUACCACAUCCUCACCGCCUCCCCGGAGGUCAACGGCUUCUUCGGGGCCAAAGGCGUGGCGGGCGCCAUCCCCGACGCCUACACGCACAUCGCCGGGCAGUUCUACGAGCGGGUGUGCCGCCUGGGCCAGCGGGACCGGGUCCACCUGCACGAGUACCACAGGCCACAGUGGACCUUCCAUGCCAAAGGUCUAUGGUACUACCUCCACGGGCAGGAUCAGCCUUGCCUCACGCUAAUAGGCUCCCCUAAUUUUGGGUACCGCUCGGUUCACCGCGACCUGGAGGCCCAGGUCGCCAUAGUAACCGAGAACGAAGGGCUGAAGAGCCAGCUGCAAGAGGAGCAGGAGAUGUUGUACCAGCGCUCCUCGGAGGUGUCCAGGUCUACGUUCCAGCAGUCGGACCGCCACGUCAAGCUCUGGGUCCGGCUGAUCACUCCUCUCAUCAAGAACUUCUUCUGAGGAAGCAAAGAAAAGGUUGGCCUUGGAAAGGAGGACACGGUUACCGUCGGCAACGAGGAGGGAGAGGAAGUCCAUUGUUGCAAAGUGGAGACGUGACCUUGGACCUCAAGCAGGUGAGAACCUCAGGUGCUGGAAACAAGAAGGAGGUGGAUGCUUGCCGCACUUAACUUGAGUCCUCCCAGGAAGUGACACAAACAAAAAUGGGUCUCGGACCGGCGAACGACGUCUAUUUAUUGCCGAGGAUCAGCGGGACCCUAAAAAGUCUUUAAACAUUUCAGGUGACUCUUUUGUGAAGUGCACCUUUUGUCUCCAACUAACCAGAGAGGCGCAGGAGCCGCGUCACACCACAGGUACACGUCGUCUUCUGCACUCCAGCGUACCUUUUUUUAAAAGACAAACUGACGACAGGCAAACAAUUCACACGUUCACAAUCUUUACUGGCGGGGUUGUAAGGGGCUCAGCUUCUGGAGCGGGUGGACAGUGUUGUGGCGAGACAUGCCCCCCAUUGGGAUUGAUGUGUAUGGAUGAGAGGAAGGUGGAUGUUCAAUCCCACAUGUCAGUACAACUAUUUGGCCAAAUUAGGACUUCUUUUAAUGGAUUAGUCAUUUAGAAGGUUUCAUCUCUGGUUGUUAGGAGCUUGAAGAGUGAACAUUUACAUUUAAAUAAAGAACAGCCUAAUAUUUGGACACAAGACUAUUUUGAAAUGCACAUUUAUUUGUGUGAAACCUGAAAAGUCAAGUAAAGUGUCAUAUUUGGAAGGAAUAUACAGCAUGUGCUCACAAUAAAUGAUGAUUCAUUUGCAUAAA